ensembl:misc_RNA
GAGUCUGAAAUCCUCUAUACACAGAACAUGUACAGCAUGGGCACUGGCAGUGCAUAUUUCUCUAAUCUGUCCAUCUGUAUCCCUCAAUCCAGUCUUGAGGGGACCCUUUAGAUUGAAGGAGGUCAUAGAAUC